GACGGAAGGUGCAAGCGUUGCUCGGAAUCACUGGGCGUAAAGGGUGCGUAGGCGGCCACGUAAGUGAGAUGUGAAAUCCCUCGGCUCAACCGAGGAAGUGCAUUUCAUACUGCAUGGCUUGAGGGAGACAGGGGUAAGCGGAACUGAUGGUGGAGCGGUGAAAUGCGUUGAUAUCAUCAGGAACACCGGUGGCGAAAGCGGCUUACUGGGUCUCUUCUGACGCUGAGGAGCGAAAGCGUGGGGAGCGAACAGG
rnacentral:rRNA from 1 species